UGCGAGUCGAGCGAAUGGAUUGGAGCUUGCUCUUAUGAAGUUAGCGGCGGACGGGUGAGUAACACGUGGGUAACCUGCCCAUAAGACUGGGAUAACUCCGGGAAACCGGGGCUAAUACCGGAUAACAUUUUGAACCGCAUGGUUCAAAAUUGAAAGGCGGCUUCGGCUGUCACUUAUGGAUGGACCCGCGUCGCAUUAUCUAGUUGGUGAGGUAACGGCUCACCAAGGCAACGAUGCGUACCCGACCUGAGAGGGUGAUCGGCCACACUGGGACUGACACACGGCCCACACUCCUACGGGAGGCAGCAGUAGGGAAUCUUCCGCAGUGGACAAAAGUCUGACGGAGCAACGCCGCGUGAGUGAUGAAGGCUUUCGGGUCGUAAAACUCUGUUGUUAGGGAAAAACAAGUGCUAGUUGAAUAAGCUGGCACCUUGACGGUACCUAACCAAAAAGCCACGGCUAACUACGUGCCAGCAGCCGCGGUAAUACGUAUGUGGCAAGCGUUAUCCGGAAUUAUUGGGCGUAAAGCGCGCGCAGGUGGUUUCUUAAGUCUGAUGUGAAAGCCCACGGCUCAACCGUGGAGGGUCAUUGGAAACUGGGAGACUUGAGUGCAGAAGAGGAGAGUGGAAUUCCAUGUGUAGCGGUGAAAUGCGUAGAGAUAUGGAAGAACACCAGUGGCGAACGCGACUUUCUGGUCUGUAACUGACACUGAGGCGCGAAAGCGUGGGGAGCAAACGAGAUUAUAUACCCUGGUACUCCACGCCGUACACGAUGAGUGCUAAGUGUUAGAGGGUUUUCCCGCCCUUUUAGUGCUGAAGUAUACGCAAUUAAGCAUCUCCGCCGUGGGGAGAGUACGGGUCGACAAGGUCU
rnacentral:rRNA from 1 species